rnacentral:miRNA from 1 species
UAAAGUGGCAGAGUAUAGACACA